rnacentral:rRNA from 1 species
GACGUAGGGGGCAAGCGUUGUCCGGAAUCAUUGGGCGUAAAGCGCUCGUAGGUGGAUCGGUAAGUCUGCAAAGAAAGACCCGGGCUCAACUCGGGGAACGGUGUGGAUACUACCGAUCUUGAGGCAAUCAGAGGAUGAUGGAAUUCCCGGUGUAGCGGUGAAAUGCGUAGAUAUCAGGAGGAACACCGGUGGUGUAGACGGCUCUCUGGACCAUAACUGACGCUGAGACACGAAAGCGUGGGUAGCAAACAGG